UGGGAACCUUCCCUAUGGUUCGGAAUAGCUCAGGGAAACUUGGGGUAAUACCGGAUAAGCCCUUCGGGGGAAAGAUUUAUCGCCAUUGGAUGGGCCCGCGUAGGAUUAGCUAGUUGGUGAGGUAACGGCUCACCAAGGCGACGAUCCUUAGCUGGUCUGAGAGGAUGAUCAGCCACACUGGGACUGAGACACGGCCCAGACUCCUACGGGAGGCAG
rnacentral:rRNA from 1 species